CCUACGGGUGGCUGCAGUGAGGAAUAUUGGUCAAUGGACGAGAGUCUGAACCAGCCAAGUAGCGUGAAGGAUGACUGCCCUAUGGGUUGUAAACUUCUUUUAUAUGGGAAUAAAAUGUUCCACGUGUGGGAUUUUGUAUGUACCAUAUGAAUAAGGAUCGGCUAACUCCGUGCCAGCAGCCGCGGUAAUACGGAGGAUCCGAGCGUUAUCCGGAUUUAUUGGGUUUAAAGGGAGCGUAGGUGGAUUGUUAAGUCAGUUGUGAAAGUUUGCGGCUCAACCGUAAAAUUGCAGUUGAAACUGGCAGUCUUGAGUACAGUAGAGGUGGGCGGAAUUCGUGGUGUAGCGGUGAAAUGCUUAGAUAUCACGAAGAACUCCGAUUGCGAAGGCAGCCUUCCGGCGCCCUACUGACGCUGAGGCACGAAAGUGCGGGGAUCGAACAGGAUUAGAUACCCGUGUAGUC
rnacentral:rRNA from 1 species